GCAGGCGGAUUCUCUACCACUGAACCACCAGGGAAGCCCUCCAGUGCUUUUACAUAGAUGGUAAACCUCCUUGUUGCCUGAAAACGCUGUAUAAGCGGAAAUAAAAAUAGAUUAAAGGAAGUUUCAAAUAAAUUUCUGGAGGGCAGAUCUAUAACACGUUAGUAAAGUGGAGUUAGGAAUAACCAGGACGCAUUCUUAACCAAUGAGGAUGACAUCACAAAGGGCAAGUGCCAUAAUCCCGCCCAACCAUCUUAGUGGCUCCACUGGAGGCUGGUGCUCAAGGGAGGCAGAGCUCAGGGUUAACCCUGCAGCCACUGCUAACGGGUCAUCGAGGACCUGGGUGUACCGAGCCCCUGGGCUUCCGCUGUGCUGGGAGCCUGCCAGUGGCUCCCUACACCACUACGCCCACUUUUGUGCCAUUCUGUUUCUCCCCCACAAAAGAAGUGCUUUGUUUUGUAUCAUCCACUGAGUCACCGGCACGGUUGGGAACAGACCCAGGAUCCCUGCUCCUUUCUUUGCUGGGGCUGUCUGCUGGAGAUCACACUCCUUCCAGCUCAAUUGUACCUCUCCCCCAAGGUGUCCUCAUCUCAGUUCGGACGCACCAGUUUCCCAAGCCAGGUUCCUCAGUGAUCUCGUCCUCCACUCUCUUUGCUCCAGCCCCACCACCAGCACAGCUGGCUGCCUGUCAAUCCCAGCUGUCAAACCUGGCUAAGUGUCUGAUGCAGAGUCGAUGCUCCAUAGACGGCGAAAUGAAUGGACAAGUGAACAGAGCACAGAGAUGGAUGAGAUUCAGAGCGAGCACAAGAGAAUACCUGCUUGGAGGAGGGACAGAAUCAAGGGGGAAUCGUGUUUCUACAACAGAGGAGGGAAUGAUUAAGCAGCCUGCCCUUUAUUCCUCUUCCCUUCAGGCUAAAUACUUCAAUUGCCUUAACCUUUCAUCCCACGUCCAUCUCAUUUCCCAGCCCUCUAAUCAUCUUUGUCUUCGCAUUCCUCCAUGCCUUCCUUGGGAUUUCCAGGGGCCGCUUUUGCGUUUGAUGUGUUGUGUUCAGAGUGGCAGGAAUACGAGCCUGGUUCCCCCUAGAGCAUCACUUCCACUUAAUUAGCGCGGGAUUCCACAGUUCCCAAACCUCACCACUGCUGGGCCUGCUGGCUUCGGGAGAAGCCCUGCCUCCGGGCACCAGCAAAUGGUUUACACAGAGAAGUGAGGAGAGAGAAUUGAACUGGUGAUUAUGCUAACAAAUUUCCUUUUCUGUGUCAGGACUGCUCCAUGGGGAGGCCCAGCUUCUA